ACAGCAGCCACCACGGGAAUACGUAGGGUGCAAGCGUUAAUCGGAAUUACUGGGCGUAAAGCGUGCGCAGGCGGUUAUAUAAGACAGAUGUGAAAUCCCCGGGCUCAACCUGGGAACUGCAUUUGUGACUGUAUAGCUAGAGUACGGCAGAGGGGGAUGGAAUUCCGCGUGUAGCAGUGAAAUGCGUAGAUAUGCGGAGGAACACCGAUGGCGAAGGCAAUCCCCUGGGCCUGUACUGACGCUCAUGCACGAAAGCGUGGGGAGCAAACAGGAUUAGAUACCCCUGUAGUCCCUGUCUCUUAUAA
rnacentral:rRNA from 1 species